GGGGAUUUAGCUUAGUGGUAGAGCACUUGCCUAGCAAGCGCAAGGCCCUGGGUUCGGUCCCCAGCUCCA
rnacentral:tRNA from 1 species